rnacentral:rRNA from 1 species
UUCGAGUCGUUGAUUUCACACUGCCGAGAAAAGCCUCUAGAUAGAAAAUAGGUGCCCGUACCGCAAACCGACACAGGUAGUCAAGAUGAGAAUUCUAAGGUGAGCGAGCGAACUCUCGUUAAGGAACUCGGCAAAAUGACCCCGUAACUUCGGGAGAAGGGGUGCUCUUUAGGGUUAACGCCCAGAAGAGCCGCAGUGAAUAGGCCCAAGCGACUGUUUAUCAAAAACACAGGUCUCUGCUAAACCGUAAGGUGAUGUAUAGGGGCUGACGCCUGCCCGGUGCUGGAAGGUUAAGAGGAGUGGUUAGCUUCUGCGAAGCUACGAAUCGAAGCCCCAGUAAACGGCGGCCGUAACUAUAACGGUCCUAAGGUAGCGAAAUUCCUUGUCGGGUAAGUUCCGACCCGCACGAAAGGCGUAACGAUUUGGGCACUGUCUCAACGAGAGACUCGGUGAAAUCAUAGUACCUGUGAAGAUGCAGGUUACCCGCGACAGGACGGAAAGACCCCGUGGAGCUUUACUGUAGCCUGAUAUUGAAAUUCGGCACAGCUUGUACAGGAUAGGUAGGAGCCUUUGAAACGUGAGCGCUAGCUUACGUGGAGGCGCUGGUGGGAUACUACCCUAGCUGUGUUGGCUUUCUAACCCGCACCACUUAUCGUGGUGGGAGACAGUGUCAGGCGGGCAGUUUGACUGGGGCGGUCGCCUCCUAAAAGGUAACGGAGGCGCUCAAAGGUUCCCUCAGAAUGGUUGGAAAUCAUUCAUAGAGUGUAAAGGCAUAAGGGAGCUUGACUGCGAGACCUACAAGUCGAGCAGGGUCGAAAGACGGACUUAGUGAUCCGGUGGUUCCGCAUGGAAGGGCCAUCGCUCAACGGAUAAAAGCUACCCCGGGGAUAACAGGCUUAUCUCCCCCAAGAGUUCACAUCGACGGGGAGGUUUGGCACCUCGAUGUCGGCUCAUCGCAUCCUGGGGCUGUAGUCGGUCCCAAGGGUUGGGCUGUUCGCCCAUUAAAGCGGUACGCGAGCUGGGUUCAGAACGUCGUGAGACAGUUCGGUCCCUAUCCGUCGUGGGCGUAGGAAAUUUGAGAGGAGCUGUCCUUAGUACGAGAGGACCGGGAUGGACAUACCUCUGGUGUACCAGUUGUCGUGCCAACGGCAUAGCUGGGUAGCUAUGUGUGGACGGGAUAAGUGCUGAAAGCAUCUAAGCAUGAAGCCCCCCUCAAGAUGAGAUUUCCCAACUUCGGUUAUAAGAUCCCU